rnacentral:rRNA from 1 species
GAAGGGGAGUGAAAUAGAUCCUGAAACCGUGUGCCUACAAGUAGUCGAAGCCCGUUAAUGGGUGACGGCGUACCUUUUGUAGAAUGGACCGGCGAGUUACGAUCCCCUGCAAGGUUAAGUUGUAUAGACGGAGCCGCAGCGAAAGCGAGUCUGAAUAGGGCGAUAUAGUAGGUGGUCGUAGACCCGAAACCGUGUGAUCUACCCAUGUCCAGGGUGAAGGUCAGGUAACACUGACUGGAGGCCCGAACCCACGCACGUUGAAAAGUGCGGGGAUGAGGUGUGGGUAGGGGUGAAAUGCCAAUCGAACACGGAGAUAGCUGGUUCUCUCCGAAAUAGCUUUAGGGCUAGCCUCAAAGGAUGAUGGUUGGAGGUAGAGCACUGAUUGGACUAGGGGCCCUCAUCGGGUUACCGAAUUCAGUCAAACUCCGAAUGCCAAUCAAUCUACUUUGGGAGUCAGACCAUGGGUGAUAAGGUUCAUGGUCGAAAGGGAAACAGCCCAGACCGCCAGCUAAGGUCCCAAAGUGUGUGUUAAGUGGAAAAGGAUGUGGCGUUGCUUAGACAACCAGGAUGUUGGCUUAGAAGCAGCCAUCAUUGAAAGAGUGCGUAAUAGCUCACUGGUCGAGUGACGCUGCGCCGAAAAUAUACCGGGGCUAAACACACCACCGAAGCUGCGGAUUGACAUCUACGAUGUCAGUGGUAGGAGAG